GUUCACUCACAGACAGCAAACCAAGGGGUUGUGCUGUCUCCUUGUCUCCCAGGGAUAAACCCACAUGACAGUUUACAAAAACAGGUAAUCAUAAGAAGCAAAUGGCCCAGAUGAAACACAGCAAAAGAAUGAGAAGUGGUAACACUGGGAGUGAAAUUUGAACCAAGCGUAAAUGGAGUGAUCGUAGAAAUAGCUGACUGUGGAAUGUGGACACUCUCUGUAUCUGCAGCCUGGGAAGCUUAAAGAAGGUGAACUUACUGACACCAGUUAGAAAGUGACUGUGAUGAAACGAUGAAGAUGCUCCAGAGGAAGUGACACCAGCAAUAGGAAAAAAAAAACAAACCUCUCACUGAAGGAACUCUCGGAGAUAUUUCAUGACACAGAAGGCACAAAGGAUACAAUAUUGGCAACUAAUCGAAACUUAGAAAUGAUAUGACAGCUCACCAAGGCAUAGAAAAAGAUGCUUGCUCUAUCAUAAGUUAUAGAAUGAGAAGAAGAGUUUCUUUUUGUUUUCCAAUGGUAACGGGAGAGAAAAUAAGCUGUCAUUAUCGGAAUGAUCAAACACAGAGAGAAAAGAGGCAGAGGUGAGAAGAUGGAGAAGAUGAAUACAUUUGCUUUCAGCAAACCAAUGGAAGUCCAUUUGCAUGAUCUGAAAAGGAAAAUGAGAAGCUAAUUUUUCUAUACAAGGCAGAAUUUAAGAAAUACAAUUCCUAAGGACUCCAGUGGAUACAGCUCUGGUUCCUGGACUUCGUGUUUUGGCUUGGUCUUUCUGCUUUUUCAAUUUUGUCACUGGUGUGAUCCAGAGAACAUGCCUUUCACUGUGAAAACCAGCACCUUCAAGGCCAGGCGCAGUGGCUUGCGCCUAUAAUCCCAGCAUAUUGGGAGGCCGAGGUGGGUGGAUCACCUGAGGUCAGGAGUUCAAGACCAACCUGACCAACAUGGUCUACUAAAAAUACAAAAAUUAGCCCGGCAUGGUGGCGGGCGCCUAUAAUCCCAGGUACUCGGGAGGCUGAGACAUGAGAAUAGCUUGAACCAGGGAGGCGGAGGUUGCAGUGAGACGAGAUCACACCAUUGCACUCCAGCCUGGGCAACAGAGCAAGACUCCAUCUCAAAAACAAACAAACAAACAAACAAAAACACCACACAAAACCAGCACCUUCCACAGUGUCUAGCAUACGUUAGUCACCAAAACAGGUUUGCUAAAUGAACAAAUGAAUGAAUGGCAUUUUAUGUGUCAGUAAAUAUGCUUCAAAAUCAUGAUGUAUGAUGAGUAAGCAACUCUAUCAAAUAAAUAUAACGUAAUUUGCUGUGAGCACAUAAUUUGCUGUGUUCUAGUAUUGAACAGUUGGACUAUUUCCAUAUUUUAAUUUUUACUAUUAUGUUUGAGGAUGAUAUAUAAAUCUU
rnacentral:lncRNA from 1 species